rnacentral:rRNA from 14 species
CCCGGCUAACUUCGUGCCAGCAGCCGCGGUAAUACGAAGGGGGCUAGCGUUGCUCGGAAUCACUGGGCGUAAAGGGCGCGUAGGCGGCUGACUUAGUCGAGGGUGAAAGCCCGUGGCUCAACCACGGAAAGGCCUUCGAUACUGGUUGGCUUGAGACCGGAAGAGGACAGCGGAACUGCGAGUGUAGAGGUGAAAUUCGUAGAUAUUCGCAAGAACACCAGUGGCGAAGGCGGCUGUCUGGUCCGGUUCUGACGCUGAGGCGCGAAAGCGUGGGGAGCAAACAGGAUUAGAUACCCUGGUAGUCCACGCUGUAAACGAUGUCUACUAGCCGUCGGGGUCCUUAGUGACUUUGGUGGCGCAGCUAACGCGAUAAGUAGACCGCCUGGGGAGUACGGCCGCAAGGUUAAAACUCAAAUGAAUUGACGGGGGCCCGCACAAGCGGUGGAGCAUGUGGUUUAAUUCGACGCAACGCGAAGAACCUUACCUGGCCUUGACAUCUGUGGAACUUGGUAGAGAUACCUUGGUGCCUUCGGGAACCGCAAGACAGGUGCUGCAUGGCUGUCGUCAGCUCGUGUCGUG